rnacentral:rRNA from 1 species
AGCAGCCGCGGUAAUUCCAGCUCCAAUAGCGUAUAUUAAAGUUGUUGCAGUUAAAAGCUCGUAGUUGAAUUUCGGGGUUAGUAGGUUGGUCAUGCCUCUGGUAUGUACUGGUCUCACUGAUUCCUCCUUCCUGAUGAGCCGUAAUGCCAUUAAUUUGGUGUUGCGGGGAAUUUGGACUGUUACUUUGAAAAAAUUAGAGUGUUUAAAGCAAGCUAACGCUUGAAUACAUUAGCAUGGAAUAAUGAAAUAGGACGUUCGAUCCUAUUUUGUUGGUUUCUAGGAUUGACGUAAUGAUUAAUAGGGAUAGUUGGGGGCAUUAGUAUUCAAUUGUCAGAGGUGAAAUUCUUGGAUUUAUUGAAGACUAACUACUGCGAAAGCAUUUGCCAAGGAUGUUUUCAUUAAUCAAGAACGAAAGUUAGGGGAUCGAAGACGAUCAGAUACCGUCGUAGUCUUAACCAUAAACUAUGCCGACUAGGGAUCGGAUGAUGUUAAUUUUUUCAAUGACUCAUUCGGCGCCUUA